rnacentral:rRNA from 1 species
GACGAACGCUGGCGGCAUGCCUAACACAUGCAAGUCGAACGGGGAUAGCAAUAUCCUAGUGGCGAACGGGUGAGUAACACGUGAGCAACCUGCCUCAUACAACGGGAUACCUACGGGAAACUGUAGUUAAUACGGUAUAAGACCACACUCCGGCAUCGGAGAGGGGUAAAGAUUUAUCGGUAUGAGAUGGGCUCGCGGCGCAUUAGCUAGUUGGUACGGUAACGGCGUACCAAGGCGACGAUGCGUAGCCGACCUGAGAGGGUGAUCGGCCACAUUGGGACUGAGAUACGGCCCAA